rnacentral:rRNA from 1 species
CCUACGGGUGGCAGCAGUGAGGAAUAUUGGUCAAUGGGAGAGAUCCUGAACCAGCCAAGCCGCGUGAGGGAAGACGGCCCUAUGGGUUGUAAACUUCUUCUGUCGGAGAACAAAACCCGGGAAGUGUCCCGGACUGCGUUUAACCGAAGAACAAGCAUCGGCUAACUCCGGGACAGCCGCCGCGGUAAUACGGAGGAUGCGAGCGUUAUCCGGAUUUAUUGGGGUUAAGGGGUGCGUAGGCGGACCGUUAAGUCAGCGGUAAAAUUGCGGGGCUCAACACUGUCGAGCAGUUGAAACUGGCAGACUUGAGUUGGCGAGAAGUACGCGGAAUGCGCGGUGUAGCGGUGAAAUGCAUAGAUAUCGCGCAGAACUCCGAUUGCGAAGGCAGCGUACCGGCGCCAGACUGACGCUGAGGCACGAAAGCGUGGGGAUCGAACAGGAUUAGAUACCCGUGUAGUC